GUUGGCCAGGGCACACACGCCCCCCACAGCUCCUGUCCCAGAGAAAGAUGCAGAACAUCAGCCAGAACCUCUUCCCACAGAGAAUCCCAAACCCUGGUCUCCAGCACCUCUUCAUUCCGGGGACAUAGGAUGUGGAUUUCUAUGCAUUUCAAACUUGCACAGAGUGCAAGUUGCCAGAGAGAAAAUCUGCCUGCGUAUUUAAAAUAGAAUCCAGCAAGCCAAGUGCUGCUCAGAGCUGUUCUGUGACAGACAAGGAGCAGAGCCUCAAGGUGAACUCAAGGACAGUUCCUUCCCUGCACCCCUCCCAGGGUAAAGUCCCACCUGCCAGGUGACAGCUCCAGUGAUUCUCUAAUAGCCCCCUGACUCAUCAGUCCUGGAAGGGGUAGAGUGGAUGGGAGGCCUUUGCUCUACUGAAAUCGUAUUGCCCCCCAGUGAAUUCACUCUGGGACCAGCUAUAGGGUGGAACAAGCUCUGGACACACUCAGGAGACCAGGCUCCCAUCGACUGCAUGAACUUGGGGCUUAAAUCCACUCAGAAUUCCAGGCUCUUGACCCAAAACAGACCAGAGCAGUUGGUCUAAGUGACAUUCCCAGGACCCUGGACUGAAACAGAAUCUGAACAAGCAGCUGAAGAUCCCUGGUCCACCACUGCAGGUCUGACAAUUCAUUCUGGCUUGGGACCAGGAGAGGAGGAAAACAGACUUCUGAACUAGAAGGGAGAGCCCCAAGGUCUCUGCCCUCAGAGAACGAUUUACGAGGUGAGAUUAGAGGAGCUAAAUUUGUCAUCUAAACAUGGAACUUGGGACUUAGAACAAACUGCAGGCAUUCCUACUACAGGCCAGGCAUUGUACAUGGCCACCCUCCUCCACCCAACAAGGUCACUCACAAGCACCCAGUAUUCAGACAAGCAAACAGGGUGGCCAGGUUUCUGAAGUUCAGAGCAGGCAGGCUGGCAAACCGCCCUUGGCAGACCCAGCCUUGACCCUCACGGUCUCUCCCAGCAGACCCAGCUGCCUGGGUUAAUCUUGGUCACUCAUGACAGUCUGAGAGCAGCAGGCAGCCUACCCAAGGCAUAGCUGGCCAGCAGGAAGCCAGCCGAUCCAGCCAACACCUGGAAAUCUUGCUUCCUCGUCUUGUGGACAAUCAACCCGAUCCUGGUCACCUGCAACAGCAAACGUUGUGUGAAAGCUGGGCCCAGAGCCUCAGCUGCCAGCCCGGACAAGGGCUGGACACAUGCUAUAGAAUGACAGCCCAGUUCCCAGAGAGAUGCACUAAAGUUCAGACAAAGCCCCAGAAAGCCAACAUGACAGAGAACCCGAAUAGGAGCUCAGGACUGAAAUGGAUCUCAGAGCUGCCCUGCAGUCGGCAGCAAAAGUGCUAGAGGCUAGAGAAGGAGGGCCAGCCCGGGAGCUGCUGCCACUCACAUCCCCACUGCUGUCCUUCAUGCCCACGAUAUUCGAGUGCUGGGAAAGCGUGACCACCGCAUCCACAGGCAGGUCCAGCCCAGUGUUGGCUGGGACACUGUAUAGCACCACAGGGAUUGGAGAGAGAUCGGCAACCUGAGGGGCACAAAGAAAAGGGGAAGAGAGCAGCUGGCCCAGGUCCUAGAGCCAGAGACUCACCCAGCAACAGGUCCUGGCCUGUGUCACUGCAGGGCUGCUGGACAGGCUGCAUCCUUAAUUAUAAGACAGCAGUGCUAUGUACCCUGACUGUAAGCAGUAACAAUGGGUAAUGUUUAUUGAGUGCUUCCUAUGCGCCAGGCACAAUUCUAAGCCCUUUAUGUUCUUUUUUUGUUUCAAAAAAAAAGAUGACCGGUAAGGGGAUCUUAACCCUUGGCUUGGUGUUGUCAGCACCACGCUCACCCAGUGAGCUAACCGGCCAUCCCUAUAUGGGGAUCCGAACCCGUGGCCUUGGUGUUAUCAGCACCGCACUCUCCCGAGUGAGGCACGGGCUGGCCCCAGCCCUUUAUGCUCUUGAUCUCACUUAAUCCUCGCAACAACCCUAUGAGGUAGAUACCAUUAUCCCUCCCAUUUUAGAGGGGAGGAAACAAUGAUGCAGAGUGGUUAGGUAAGUUGUGCAAUGUCACACAGCUGGCACAUGGUGGCGUGCCACCAUUUCCUUUAGCUGCCAUUCACGUAAAGUAGGCUCACCACUCCACUCCCAGCUUCUCUCGUCUCCUCUGCCUGGGCAGAGCUUCUGCCCUGCCAGCCUCCUCUGGGUCCCAGGCCUCACACCCACCUUGGUGUAGUGGUGAAUGAGGGCCGCACUGCUCAUACGGCCACGAUAGUAACAAGGGGUCACCACCAGGGCGGCGUCAGCACCGACCUGGGCCAUGCUGACCGUCAUCUCCACCGUGGCUUGGGUGGCUGCAGGAGGAAAGAGGAGUGAGAGCAGGAGGUGCCUCAGCAUGUCCCAGAAGAGGCAGAACAAGCAGGGAGACCCGAGCCCAGGGCCAAGGAACCUGGACCCUCACACCCAGCCACCCCCAGGCCCAGGGGCUGGCCUCACACUCGCAGCCGGAGCCGGCUAUCAGGAGCUUGUCCUUGGGCAUGGCCUGGCGCGCGCGGCUCACCACCUCCAGGCGCUCACCACUGGUCAGGAAGGGGAACUCACCACUGGAGCCCUGGACCACGAAGCCUGCAACAGAUGCCCCAUCACAGCCUACUGACACCUUCUCACCCUCUUAUGAACAACCAGGACAUGUGGUGUCCAACACUAACCCAGUUCCUACCUCCCCAACACCAUAGUUUUUCACACAUUUCCUCCCAUCCUUGUCCUGAUGCAGGCAGAAUGUUUUUACCUAGGAGCAAUGACAGCAUUCACUUCAUUUUUCUUUGCUUUAAUUGUACUGAAAAGAGUAGAUAAUAAUAUAAUCCACAUCCUAUGUACCCAGCACCCACAGCAACGCCCCCGUCACCUUCCUCUUCCUUGGCUCUCUGUCCCGACUCGUGUGUUUAUCAUUCCCAUUCAUGUCCUUAUACAUUUAAGACAUACAUACAAACCGAUGAACAAGAUAUAAUAGGGUUUGUGCAAUUUUAAGCUUUGUAGAAAUGGAAUCAAGCUUAUGUAACCUUCUGCAGUUUGUUGUUUGUGUUUAACAUUAUGUUUUGAGUUUUUUCCGUAGCUGCACAUGUAGCCCUGAUUUGUUCAUUUUAAUUGCUGUAUAGUAUGCUGUUGUAUGGUUAGACCACAAUUUAUAUUUCAUUCUCUUGUUGAGGACAUUUAGAAUGUUUUCUUCUGUUUGUUACUGCAAACAAUAUGAAAACAAACAUUUUCUGUAAAGCCUUCUGUGCAUGUGUCUAAGAGUUCCUCCAGAGUUUGGAUACUUAGGUGUAUAAUUGCUGAGCCGUGUCUACGUGCAUCUUCACAUGUGCCACGUUUCUCAUCAAUCAGUGUACACUCCAUCAGCAGCACGGAGUCUGUUAUCGUUCAUCUGUGCCAACUCUUGGUACUGUCAGAACUAAUUUUUGCCAGUUUUCUGAGUGAAAAGUGAUACCUCAUUGUUUUAUUUUGCAUUUUCCUGUUCUUUUCUUUUUUUUUUUUUUUUAAAGAUGACCGGUAAGGGGGAUCUCAACCCUUGGCUUGGUGUUGUCAGCACCACGUUCAGCCAGUGAGCGAACCGGCCAUCCCUAUAUAGGAUCCGAACCCAUGGCCUUGGUGUUAUCAGCACCGCACUCUCCCAAGUGAGCCACGGGCCGGCCCGCAUUUUCCUGUUCUAUUAAUCACUUAUUUGAGAGAUUUCUAACAUGUACCAGUUACAGGUGUCAACCCUUUUGUUUCUAUGAGACUGGCAGAAUUGACGCUCUUCAGCUGAAGAGGGACACAGAGACAUGUCAGUAAAAUCAUUUUCCUCUCAAGAA